AAUUACAGAUUGGCUGCAGUCACCAGCUGUUUCUUCCAACAUCUGUAGUGUUAUAUGGAUAUUUGUUGAAGCUUCAGGCAAGAUGCCAUCUGAAGGAUGAAUGUAGCAAGCUAGCAGCGAUGGAGGGAGGUGAUUACUUCUGGGUCUAUCUAACAACAAGCAACAAGUGCAGAGGGACACACCGUGUCAUGGACAUGGACAUUGACAAACGCACCUCCAUAAAAGACAGGAGAAUAAAGAGCAACGUCAAAUAACAUAUAUCCCACACGAGAGGAUUGAAGAGAUGAUCCUAGAGGUGGCAUCUCAAAUUCGAGGAGUAAAGAGUGAACAAGAAAGGUGACAGCACAGAUCCCUGAGUCAACCCUUGGGCCAGACAGAGGCCGUACCCUCCCUUGCGGCACCACAACCACCUUGUGAGGAGACGCGAUGACCAUGAAAUCCUUAUCUCCCUCACUUCAGCACAAGCAGAUAUUGCUACACAGCGGCAUGGCUGCUACAGUAAAGUAAGUAGCAGUCUGAGUUUAUCUGUCUGCAAAGGGAUGAAUAAACUGGUUUGGU